rnacentral:rRNA from 1 species
UACGGGGGGGGCAAGCGUUGUUCGGAUUUACUGGGCGUAAAGGGCGCGUAGGCGGCCACCGCAAGUCGAUUGUGAAAUCUCCGGGCUUAACCCGGAAAGGUCAACCGAUACUGCGGGGCUAGAGUGCAGAAGGGGCAACUGGAAUUCUCGGUGUAGCGGUGAAAUGCGUAGAUAUCGAGAGGAACACCUGCGGCGAAGGCGGGUUGCUGGGCUGACACUGACGCUGAGGCGCGAAAGCUAGGGGAGCGAACGGG